rnacentral:ribozyme from 1 species
CGCUCUACAAUGGUACAAUGAUCUUCAUGUCCAUUGCUUCGAACAAAAUCGUUUGCCUUCGGC